AAUCCAUAGGUUAAUGAGGCGAACCGGGGGAACUGAAACAUCUAAGUACCCCGAGGAAAAGAAAUCAACCGAGAUUCCCCCAGUAGCGGCGAGCGAACGGGGAGGAGCCCAGAGCCUGAAUCAGCAUGUGUGUUAGUGGAAGCGUCUGGAAAGGCGCGCGAUACAGGGUGACAGCCCCGUACACAAAAGCGCAUGUGCUGUGAGCUCGAUGAGUAGGGCGGGACACGUGGUAUCCUGUCUGAAUAUGGGGGGACCAUCCUCCAAGGCUAAAUACUCCUGACUGACCGAUAGUGAACCAGUACCGUGAGGGAAAGGCGAAAAGAACCCCGGCGAGGGGAGUGAAAAAGAACCUGAAACCGUGUACGUACAAGCAGUGGGAGCCCCACCACCAAAGCAUUCUCUGGUGUUG
rnacentral:rRNA from 2 species